rnacentral:tRNA from 1 species
UCUAAUGUGGCAGAAUAGUGCGAUGGACUUAAGCCCCGUAUAUAAAAGCUACGCUUUUUUUUAGAA